GGGGUUCGAUCUAGCUCCAGAUUGAACGCUGGCGGGAUGAACUUUACACAUGCAAGUCGAACGGCAGCGGGCUUCGGUCUGGUGGCAGUGGCGAACGGGUGAGCAAUGUAUCGGAACACAUGCUAGUAGCGGGGGAUAACUACGCGAAAGCGGCAACUAAGCACAUACGCCCUUCGGGGGAAAGCGGGGGGACCUUCGGGCCUCGCACUAUUAGAGCGGCCGAUAUCGGAUUAGCUAGUUGGUGGGGUAACGGCUCACCAAGGCGACGAUCCGUAGCUGGUUUGAAGGACGACCAGCCACACUGGGACUGAGACACGGCCCAGACUCUACAGGAGGCAGCAGUGGGGAAUUUUUGGACAAUGGGGGAAACCUGAUCCAGCCACCCCGCGUGUGCGAUGAAGGCCUUCGGGUUGUAAAGCACUUUUGGCAGAAAGAAACGGCACGGGAUAAUACCCCGUGCAACUGACGUACCUGCAGAAUAAGCACCGGCUAACUACGUGCCAGCAGCCAUGAUAUUACGUAGGAGUGCAAGCGUUAAUCGGAAUUACUGGGCGUAAAGCGUGCGCAGGCGGUUCCGGAAAGAAAAGAUGUGAAAUCCCAGAGCAACUUUGGAACUGCAUUUUUAACUACCGAGCUAGAGUGUGUCAGAAGUGGAGAUUUCCCACGCGUGUAGCAGUGAAAUGCGUAGAUAUGCGGAGGAACACCGAUGGCGAAGGCAACCUCCUGGGAUACUGCAGCGCUCGUACGGCGUGAGCAAACAGGAUUAGAUACCCUGGUAGUCCACGCCUAAACGAUGUCAACUAGCUGUUGGGGCCUUCGGGCAUAAGUGGCCGCAGCUAACGCGUGAAGUUGACCGCCUGCCAGAAUCGGUCGCAAGAUUAAAACUCAAAGGAAUUGACGGGACCCACACAAGCGGUGGAUGAUGUGGAUUAAUUCGAUGCAGAAAAAGCAUAGAAAGAAAACCUUACCUACCCUUGACAUGUCUGGAAUCCCGAAGAGAUUUGGGAGUGCUCGCAAGAGAACCGGAACACAGGUGCUCGGCGGCUGUCGUCAGCUCGUGUCGUGAGAUGUUGGGUUAAGUCCCGCGAGCGCAACCCUUGUCAUUGGUUGCUACGAAAGGGCACUCUAUUGAGACUGCCGGUGACAAACGGAGGGAAGGUGGGGAUGACGUCCAGUCCUCAUGGCCCCGCUAUGGGUAGGGCUUCACGAUGUACAAUGGUCGGGACAGAGGGUCGCCAACCGCGAGGAGCCAAUCAGGAAACCCGAUCGUAGUCCGGAUCGCAGUCUGCAACUCGACUGCGUGAUCAGAAUCGCUAGUAAUCGCGGAUCAGCAUGUCGCGGUGAAUACGUUCCCGGGUCUUGUACACACCGCCCGUCACCACCAUGUGGGGUGGGUUUUUUGCCAGAGUAGUUAGCCUAACCGUAAGGAGGCGAUUACCACGGUAGGAUUCAUGACUGGGGUGAAGUCGUAACAAAGGUAA
rnacentral:rRNA from 1 species